rnacentral:rRNA from 1 species
GGGGGUCGACCUCGGUGCCGCAGCUAACGCAUUAAGCACUCCGCCUGGGGAGUACGGUCGCAAGACUGAAACUCAAAGGAAUUGACGGGGACCCGCACAAGCAGCGGAGCAUGUGGUUUAAUUCGAAGCAACGCGAAGAACCUUACCAGGACUUGACAUCCUCUGCAUUAACCUUAAUAGGUGAAAUCCCUUCGGGGACAGAGUGACAGGUGGUGCAUGGUUGUCGUCAGCUCGUGUCGUGAGAUGUUGGGUUAAGUCCCGCAACGAGCGCAACCCUUGUCUUUAGUUGCCAUCACUUAGGGUGGGCACUCUAGAGAGACUGCCGGGGAUAACUCGGAGGAAGGUGGGGAUGACGUCAAAUCAUCAUGCCCCUUAUGUUCUGGGCUACACACGUGCUACAAUGGCUGGUACAACGGGCAGCGAAAGAGUAAUCUGGAGCAAAUCCUAAAAGCCAGUCCCAGUUCGGAUUGUGGGCUGCAACUCGCCCACAUGAAGUUGGAGUUGCUAGUAAUCGUGGAUCAGAAUGCCGCGGUGAAUGCGUUCCCGGGUCUUGUACACACCGCCCGUCACACCAUGGAAGUUGGGGGCACCCGAAGUCAGCUAUCUAACCGCAAGGAGGAGGCUGCCGAAGGUGAAAUCAAUGACUAGGGUGAAGUCGUAACAAGGUAGCCG